UACGUAGGGUCCGAGCGUUGUCCGGAAUUAUUGGGCGUAAAGAGCGCGUAGGCGGUCCGGUAAGUCAGCUGUGAAAGUCAAGGGCUCAACCCUUGAAAGCCGGUUGAUACUGUCGGGCUAGAGUCCGGAAGAGGCGAGUGGAAUUCCCGGUGUAGCGGUGAAAUGCGCAGAUAUCAGGAGGAACACCGGUGGCGAAGGCGGGUCUCUGGGCAACAACUGACGCUGAGGAGCGAAAGCGUGGGGAGCGAACAGG
rnacentral:rRNA from 1 species